rnacentral:rRNA from 1 species
CACGCAGGCGGUGUGGCGCGUUUCGCGUGACAGCGGGUGGCUUAACUGCCCGAGGAUGCGAAAGACGGCCGCACUCGAGGGCCAGAGAGGGACACGGAAUUCCGGGUGGAGUGGUGAAAUGCGUAGAGAUCCGGAGGAACACCGAAGGCGAAGGCAGUGUCCUGGCUGGUGACUGACGCUGAGGUGCGAAAGCCAGGGGAGCGAACGGGAUUAGAUACCCCGGUAGUCCUGGCCGUAAACGAUGACCACCAGGUGUGGGAGGGCUCGACCCCUUCCGUGCCGGAGUGAACACAUUAAGUGGUCCGCCUGGGGAGUACGGUCGCAAGAUUAAA